rnacentral:rRNA from 1 species
GACGAACGCUGGCGGCGUGCCUAACACAUGCAAGUCGAACGGAAAGGCGCUGCUCUUGCGGGUUGCUCGAGUGGCGAACGGGUGAGUAACACGUGAGUAACCUGCCCUUGACUUUGGGAUAACACUAGGAAACUGGGGCGAAUAUCGGAUAGGAGCUCUUGCUGCGCGGUGGUGGUUGGAAAGAUUCGGCUGUGGGGGAUGGACUCGCAGCUUAUCAGCUUCUUGGUGGGGUAGUGGAUUACCAAGGUUUUGACGGGUAGCCGGCAUGGGAGGGGGACCGGCGACAAUGGGACUGAGGUACGGCCCAGACUCCUACGGGAGGCAGCAGUCGGGAGUAUUGCACAACGGGCGGAAGCCUGAUGCAGAAGCGCCGCGUGCGGGAUGACGGCUUUCGGGUUGUAAACCGCUUUCGCCUGUGACGAAGCGUGAGUGACGGUAAUGGGUAAAGAAGCACCGGCUAACUACGUG